AUUGAGCGCUGGCGGCAGGCCUAACACAUGCAAGUCGGACGGUAGCACAGGGGAGCUUGCUCCUCGGGUGACGAGUGGCGGACGGGUGAGUAAUGUCUGGGGAUCUGCCCGAUAGAGGGGGAUAACCACUGGAAACGGUGGCUAAUACCGCAUAAUGUCGCAAGACCAAAGAGGGGGACCUUCGGGCCUCUCACUAUCGGAUGAACCCAGAUGGGAUUAGCUAGUAGGCGGGGUAACGGCCCACCUAGGCGACGAUCCCUAGCUGGUCUGAGAGGAUGACCAGCCACACUGGAACUGAGACACGGUCCAGACUCCUACGGGAGGCAGCAGUGGGGAGUAUUGCACAAUGGGCGCAAGCCUGAUGCAGCCAUGCCGCGUGUAUGAAGAAGGCCUUCGGGUUGUAAAGUACUUUCAGCGGGGAGGAAGGCGAUGUGGUUAAUAACCGCGUCGAUUGACGUUACCCGCAGAAGAAGCACCGGCUAACUCCGUGCCAGCCGCCGCCGUAA
rnacentral:rRNA from 1 species